UACGUAGGGGGCAAGCGUUUGUCCGGAUUUAUUGGGCGUAAAGGGCGUGUAGGCGGCUAUACAGGUCCGCUGUGAAAACUCGAGGCUCAACCUCGAGACGUCGGUGGAAACCGUAUGGCUAGAGUCCGGAAGAGGAGAGUGGAAUUCCUGGUGUAGCGGUGAAAUGCGCAGAUAUCAGGAAGAACACCCGUGGCGAAGGCGGCUCUCUGGGACGGUACUGACGCUGAGACGCGAAAGCGUGGGGAGCGAACAGG
rnacentral:rRNA from 1 species